UCAGGCAGGGACCCAGUGCUGACUUACUGUAUGUGCCCCCUCUGCAGCCCCCAGCAGAAAGCUGAAUCCACAGUAGGCACACAGGAAGUGCUCUGGAAUUGAGUUGGCAGGCUAUUCCAGCCAACCAUGAGUACAUAGCAUUUCCUUUUAUCAUCUAAAAAAUUGUAAGACAUUAUGCCUCAGGUUUUGCAACUGAGAAUGGCAACAGACUAAAAAGGCCUGUUUAGUAAGUUGUAAAGGAGGCACCAGAUGCAUAAUGGCAGGAAAGCUACCAGAACUCCUUCAUUUUGGUGCCAUUUCCCCUUCAUGAUGAUCUGUCAAACUCAUUCAACCUCAUGGCUCUGUUCAUUACCAUACAGAGUUAUUGAGAACGGGGUGCCCAGCACGUGCUAGAUGCUGCAGAGGGCACAAAGCCAGUUCCGAGGCACCUGCUGACGAGCGCUGUUAAGGAAAUCCCGAAUUAACACGAUGCUUUGGGUGUUUGGGGACAGAGCGAUUCCUCUAAGCAGGUGGGUGUUUAUGAAGGAAGCGGCACUGAGCUGGGCCCUAAAGGAUAUACCAGAUCUGACAGGAAGAGAAGGGGACAUGGAGAAAAAAACAUUUCAGGAGGAGAGAACAGAGCAGCCUAAGCAUGGGGGCCAAAAGGUGCAUGGCAUGUUUAGGGGCCCUGAGCACCCCAUGGGUCUAGCAUGUGCGAUAUUGGAGAAGGGCCCUGGAGGUGGGUGGAGGUAAGACAACCCAGGUGGGCAGGCCCAGAUCAUAGCCAGCAGGCUGAGGAGUUUAUACCACCAUGUUGGACCCUGGGGAACCAGCCCACACAGGAUUUGGGGCCGGGGCAAGGGGAGGUGUGCUUCAGGCUGGAAGGCAGGCAUAGGCGGAAGUACCGCAGCCAGCAGCCUGGCAGGACACAGCCGAUGCCUGCCUUCUUUCUCACCUGGGGACCGUCUGCCUUCUCCGCAUUCUGCUCCACCACUUAGCAUCCUUGACAUCCCUUCCACGUGGGGACACAUUACAUAAGGCAUAUACCUCCCUCUUGGUUGUCCUACCUAUACGCUACUCCACACAUCUCAACUGGACAAAGUCAGAGGUUUGGGGUCAUAACUGACCCUGGGAGUACAGAUUUUCAUCUCUGACUCCCCCUCCCUACCCCCAUCAUUAGUGCAGAGAGAGCAAGGAAUGAAACCUAGCUGGAUGACCUCCCAGGCUGACUAUGACAGGAAGCACCCUUUCCACUCAUGGAGAAGAUUAAUGGGACAAAGGCGGGCAGCAGACAAGGAAAAACUGUGAGCACCUGUGACCUCAUGCGUUUGGGUUUCUGCUGGACACAGAGAGGCUGUGGUGACAGCAGGGGCGGGAGGUUGGACGGGGGCAAGGCUGCCUCGCCACCCCGGAGAAAGCAGUGUCCUCCUCUCUGGACCCCGGACACUGGCAGGGUGACCUCAGAGGAGCAGGGCUCACCAGAGAUGGGAACUGGAAUUUGUCAGGAAAGAGAGAAGCUGGUGCUGCAGCACAGGCACACUUGGAAGCUGGUUGGCUGCCCUUCAGCCAUUUUGUGGCUUGUUUUCUCCUGUCUUCCAGCCACAGGCCAUUGUCUCUCCGUCCAGACUCAUUUACUGACUGCCCAGGAGUAAGAGUCUGCCUUCUCCCAAUUUUACAGACCCACAGUCUGGGCUGGGGGCGGCGCACAGUCUGGCAAGGCACAAGGACAAGGCAGGCAUUCAGCCGGCUCUGCGAGGAGUCCCCUGGGCAGCCCCUCCUGCCCUGUCCCUCUCCCAGGCCGUAGGUCCUGCAGCUGAUCCCUCUCAGGUUCACUGAAUUCCAGGAGUGUUUGUAAACACCUCCCACUGCCAGGGUGUGGUGAGAUGACUGCUCUUUCCUCUUAGUCUGCCCCACCUCUAGCUCUGACUGCAAAAGGAAGAGAGUUUCUGUUGGCCUGAGCCUGUGGACAGGGCGCCUGGCAGGUUGGACCGGACAGGGUACCCACCUGUCCCCAGCCCAGAGCAGCAGAGCAGAGGGCGCCCGGACUCCCCGCAGACCCUGCCGAGAUGUGCACUUAGAUCCCCAGCACAGAUUUGCUUUUGGGUGCUGCUGGGAAGGCACCUGCUGGAUAAGUCCCUGGGUAGAGCAGUGCUGGGGCAGGGAGGACGGGCACACAGAGGGAGAGACUUGCACGCCCUGCCAACUACCAGCCACUCUUGCCCCCAGCUCCUCAGUUUCCCCCAACUGCAGAAACACUAACUCAAAAACCACCUCUGGAGGCUCUGGAGGGGCUGACGUGCUAUCCCAAAGGAGGAACAGGAAGGGGCUGGUAAUGGCAGCUUGUCCUUCUCCUUUGCCUCAGUCUCUGGGGUGUGGUGCCAAAGGGCCAGAAACAUGACUCAUUCAGUGGGGCGCUGGCUAAACAGCCCUCUGGCUUCUCCCGGUCCAGCUGCCUCGGCUUCCUGCCCACCCUGCUGACCAAGGAACUACCUUCCAGGUGUAGGCGCUAGCAGCAAGCGCCUUCCACCUUGUGGGGUCAGUGAGUCUGGGAAGCAAGUCCCUGUCAUUGUCCCAGUAGCCGUGACAUUGCGGAGGUUAAAACUCUGGCCACACUGAAGGAGGAUGGUCUCAACAGGCAAAUGGCUAAUCAUUUCCCCUACAAUCCCGUUGACAAUAUUUGUUUAAGAAAGCUUGCAUCAUAGAAACACAAAGGUAUUAUCUUGCCAAUGUGUGAAGUCAGUUCAGAGAAAGUCCUUGAGUCCUGCGAGUCAAAGUCUGUAGAGCAUGUGUGCCCCUCGCCUUCCCACUCGGUGCCCAAAGCCUUCGUGCCUCUCCCAUUCAGAGCCGCUCCUUGCUUCCUGGAUUCUUCCUUGUACUCUGAUUCAGCACUUGUUUUAUUCACUUCUAAGAAGCUCAAGGGCAGGAAAUGGGGGCUUCACAUUUCUAGCACCCCAAGUCCUUGCAAAUAGAAGGCACUUCAAGUAGAAGAGACGUAACUGACUUUUAGGUCUUCAGCUUUAGUCCGUUCAGUCCCAGCUACCACUGCCUUUAGCAUCACCGUGUAAUAGCCAUCUUUUUAAAAUAUAAGGUUUACUUCUUCUUAUUAUUAUUAAAGAAAUAUGUGUUCAUUGUAGAUGCAAGUCAUACUCCACCUUUCCAGAGACAGUUUCAUGGCACAUGGAGGAACGCAGGAGUUUGGAGUGUUUCUUCCUCCUGGAAUUGUCUCACCUUUCUCUCCCUGGCCUCUCCCAUAUUAGCUGUGAGCCUCCACUUCCUCAGCUGCUGGGUCCCUGGACACAGACCCACCACAGCAAAGCUGGGAGGGGUGGGCGAGAGCGACCCAUAGGGCAUCCACUCCUCUUCCCUUCUGAUCACAGCACAUGGCACAUGGCUAAGGAGUGCGUAGACUUUAUCUUCCCCUUCACCUAUUUCACCCCUACCUCCACCUCCCUCCCCUCUGGCAACCACCUGUCAGUAUCUGUGAGUUUGUUUCUGUUUUGUUUGUUUGUUUUGCUUUUUUAGAUUCCACAUAAAAGUGAGAUAACAUGGUACUUAUCAUUCUCUCUGUGACCUGUUUCACUUAGCAUAACACCCCCUAGGUUAUCCAUGUUGCCACAAAUGGCAAGAGUCCAUUCUUUUUAUGGCCCAGUAAUAUUCCAUUGUAUACAUAUGUACCACAUUUUCUUUAUCAUUCAUCUAUCAGGGAACAUUUAGGUUGCCUCCAUAUCUUAGCUGUUAUAAAUAAUAUUGUUAUAUUACAAAUCAUAUUGUUAUUAUAAAUAAUGCUGUGAUAAACAGGGUGCAUAUAUAUUUUCAGAUUAGUGAUUUUGUUUUCUUUGGGGAAAUUCUAAGAAGUAGACUUGCUGGGUCACAUUUUUAGUUUUUUGAGAAACCUCCAUGCUGCUUUCCAUAGUAGCUGAGUAUGCUGACUUUUGACCCUAAGGAAUCAUAAUGUAGGCCUGGAAGCUUAAAGCCCUACCCAGCACUUGCCAGUUUACAAAGUUUAAGGAGGAACACAGAAUAAAGCUCCUUGCGUAGGGGUCCCCUUUAGGAAGAAAACACCAGAUUCUCACCAGGGUCCUUCUUAAGGGCCCUCUUCUCCCCUGUCCCUAUAGUCCCUCUUGUGAAUCUCCAUCCAUCUUCAGGAAAUCCUAUCCUUUACCCUCCCUAGGAUGCACAGCACCUUUCGUAAGUGUGCGUCAGUUAUCCUGGGGUAACAUUUCCUAUCACCACCCCAACCCCCCCCACCCCAGGUUUGGGGGACACCUUUAGCAGAGAAGGCCAGUGGCACUAAAUUCUUAUAGAACAGUUCGGGGACCAAUUACACAAUAGCCCAUUCUGUGGCAUGAUUGGGUCCUCCAAUUCAAGUUUUCUUCAAAGCCCAUUCAACUAAAAAAUAUAUAUAUAUAUCCCCAAAACAAACAUUCCUGAGAAAUGGUACCACCUAAACCCCUAACGAUAAAGAAAAUACUGUUAUAUUCAUAAUUUGUAAUAAACGUGUAUUGAAACCUAGUAUAUACAGAAAAUAGAAGAAAAACGUGUAACAUUUUUUAGAAACAAACUUUGUUACAGCAUUAUAGCAUAGCUAUAAUAAAAGAAAUGUGUAAAGGAAAAUAUACUAUAAACAUUAUAUGCAGAAAAGUGUAUAGAAGAGUCAGCUUGGUGAAUUUUCACCACCCAGAUCUAGAAACAGAACAGUGUCUGCACCUGUAGAAAUAGCCCUUGAGUUUCAUCUCACCAGGCUCCCUGCCUUUUUUGAACCUUAUAUAAAUGAAUCACACAUUGGGUUUUUAUUUUAGGCCUGGUUCCUUUCACUCAGGAUUAUGUGCAUGAGAGUCACCAGUGGUGUUUGUACAGCAGUGAUUGAUCGUCCAUCUUCAAUGUUUCACAAUAUUCCAUGUUAUCCUCAGUAAACUGUGGUCUGGAAUCAUCAGAAGGUUAGCAGUAGCCUAACGCUCCGUCACAAUGUCUACGUCGCUCACCUCACUUCAUCUCAUCACGGAGGCGUUUCAUCAUCUCACGUCAUCACAAGAAGCAGGAAAAGAGAAGACAUAUGUGGCAGAAGAUGACCUGGAAAGGCCUCUUUUGCUCGGUUUUACUGAAUCCUGGUAUCACAGGGUUUCUGGCUUGCAUAACUGUGUGGACGAGGCCCUUACUGUGACAGAGAAUGCUGGAAGAAGGACCAGGCUCUGUUUUGAACAUGCUGAACUUCGGAUACCUUUGAGACACCUGAGAGGAUGGUAAACAAACUGUUUGAUAUGUGGGUCUGGGAGUGGUCUGGACUGGAAAUAUGAGUAUAUUUAUUUCAUUAGACCUAGAACCAAACCAAGAGAUAAGAGACAUACCAUUAAGUACCUUUAUGUUCAUAAAGGUGAGCUGAAAACUGUGCAAGAAUUCAGCCCAGAUAACACUGUCCUUGUUUACUGGAUAUUUAUAAUACAAUGAAAAAAAUAACAUGUAUGCCAAUGGGCAACCGCUACAUA